AUGACGGGUGGAGCCAUACCAGAAAGGUCUGCCUAGAGGUCCCCAGUAACAGGUGCUAGCACCAGCACUGGGAGAAAAUUCAGUGGGCAACCACCAAGUGCCCAGAAGUUUGCCUAGGCAUUAAGCUGCUAAGUCUUGGCUCAAAGUUCUCUGUAUGGUGAUAUGGAAACUGCCUAUACUUCUGAUCUAGGAAUCAACUCCAAGCCUUUCCCCAAGUUAACUCCAGGACGAGGAAGAAGCAAAGUGCUCUCCCUCAGUCUGAGUUAUUCAGAUGCCCCAUGGAAAGGCUGUUUCCACCAUAUAGUGGAACAGUGGAACAGUGCUGGAGGACGAAAAAGUUUCAAAAGCUCAUGUAGGUA
rnacentral:lncRNA from 13 species